AGUCGAGCGGUAGCACAGAGAGCUUGCUCUCGGGUGACGAGCGGCGGACGGGUGAGUAAUGUCUGGGAAACUGCCUGAUGGAGGGGGAUAACUACUGGAAACGGUAGCUAAUACCGCAUAACGUCGCAAGACCAAAGUGGGGGACCUUCGGGCCUCAUGCCAUCAGAUGUGCCCAGAUGGGAUUAGCUGGUAGGUGGGGUAACGGCUCACCUAGGCGACGAUCCCUAGCUGGUCUGAGAGGAUGACCAGCCACACUGGAACUGAGACACGGUCCAGACUCCUACGGGAGGCAGCAGUGGGGAAUAUUGCACAAUGGGCGCAAGCCUGAUGCAGCCAUGCCGCGUGUGUGAAGAAGGCCUUCGGGUUGUAAAGCACUUUCAGCGGGGAGGAAGGCGGUGAGGUUAAUAACCUCAUCGAUUGACGUUACCCGCAGAAGAAGCACCGGCUAACUCCGUGCCAGCAGCCGCGGUAAUACGGAGGGUGCAAGCGUUAAUCGGAAUUACUGGGCGUAAAGCGCACGCAGGCGGUCUGUCAAGUCGGAUGUGAAAUCCCCGGGCUCAACCUGGGAACUGCAUUCGAAACUGGCAGGCUAGAGUCUUGUAGAGGGGGGUAGAAUUCCAGGUGUAGCGGUGAAAUGCGUAGAGAUCUGGAGGAAUACCGGUGGCGAAGGCGGCCCCCUGGACAAAGACUGACGCUCAGGUGCGAAAGCGUGGGGAGCAAACAGGAUUAGAUACCCUGGUAGUCCACGCUGUAAACGAUGUCGAUUUGGAGGUUGUGCCCUUGAGGCGUGGCUUCCGGAGCUAACGCGUUAAAUCGACCGCCUGGGGAGUACGGCCGCAAGGUUAAAACUCAAAUGAAUUGACGGGGGCCCGCACAAGCGGUGGAGCAUGUGGUUUAAUUCGAUGCAACGCGAAGAACCUUACCUGGUCUUGACAUCCACAGAACUUAGCAGAGAUGGUUUGGUGCCUUCGGGAACUGUGAGACAGGUGCUGCAUGGCUGUCGUCAGCUCGUGUUGUGAAAUGUUGGGUUAAGUCCCGCAACGAGCGCAACCCUUAUCCUUUGUUGCCAGCGGUUAGGCCGGGAACUCAAAGGAGACUGCCAGUGAUAAACUGGAGGAAGGUGGGGAUGACGUCAAGUCAUCAUGGCCCUUACGACCAGGGCUACACACGUGCUACAAUGGCAUAUACAAAGAGAAGCGACCUCGCGAGAGCAAGCGGACCUCAUAAAGUAUGUCGUAGUCCGGAUUGGAGUCUGCAACUCGACUCCAUGAAGUCGGAAUCGCUAGUAAUCGUAGAUCAGAAUGCUACGGUGAAUACGUUCCCGGGCCUUGUACACACCGCCCGUCACACCAUGGGAGUGGGUUGCAAAAGAAGUAGGUAGC
rnacentral:rRNA from 1 species